rnacentral:rRNA from 1 species
ACGGUAACAGGCCUUCGGGUGCUGACGAGUGGCGAACGGGUGAGUAAUGCAUCGGAACGUGCCCAGUCGUGGGGGAUAACUGCUCGAAAGAGCAGCUAAUACCGCAUACGAUCUGCGGAUGAAAGCGGGGGACCUUCGGGCCUCGCGCGAUUGGAGCGGCCGAUGUCAGAUUAGGUAGUUGGUGGGGUAAAGGCCUACCAAGCCGACGAUCUGUAGCUGGUCUGAGAGGACGACCAGCCACACUGGGACUGAGACACGGCCCAGACUCCUACGGGAGGCAGCAGUGGGGAAUUUUGGACAAUGGGCGCAAGCCUGAUCCAGCAAUGCCGCGUGCGGGAAGAAGGCCUUCGGGUUGUAAACCGCUUUUGUACGGAACGAAAAGGCUCUGGCUAAUACCUGGGGCUGAUGACGGUACCGUAAGAAUAAGCACCGGCUAACUACGUGCCAGCAGCCGCGGUAAUACGUAGGGUGCGAGCGUUAAUCGGAAUUACUGGGCGUAAAGCGUGCGCAGGCGGUUGUGUAAGACAGGCGUGAAAUCCCCGGGCUUAACCUGGGAAUGGCGCUUGUGACUGCACGGCUGGAGUACGGCAGAGGGGGAUGGAAUUCCGCGUGUAGCAGUGAAAUGCGUAGAUAUGCGGAGGAACACCGAUGGCGAAGGCAGUCCCCUGGGCCUGUACUGACGCUCAUGCACGAAAG